UUAAUUAUGGCAGAAGUAAUGUAUUAAGUUUAGAACUUAAGGAUAGGAUUUUAUCUCCUUUUUUAUU
rnacentral:tRNA from 2 species